UAAGGUCCCUUCCAACCCAAACCAUACCUGGUUUCUAUUAUUUUUCUGCUGUGAUUCUGGAAGUUAACUUCUGCAAAGCUGAGGAGAUUCCACACCACAGAUUCAAUUUUGAGCAAGGAGUUAAGCUUUAAACAUUUCUCUUGGCAUCCAGGAGAUGACAGAGUAGUACACAAACUGAGAUGUGCUUGACAAGCACAAAUAAUGGUCAUUUCAGUGAGGUUUGGCCUUGUGCUCUUCAUUUCCCAGAAUUAGGCCCUGAUAGUGGAGAGCUGGAGCGAAGAAAGACUGCACUGAAAGAAAUGCUCCAUCUGAAUUUAACAAAAGAUCUAUGGCCCAACUCCCUGCCCUAAAGGACCAGCAGGGGUCUGAUACUUGUUUCUACAAGGCCUUCUUCUGCUUCCUGUUUGCCUCAGCAAGAACAGCAGUGAGCUCCAUUUGUAUUUGGAAACUGCUUCACACUUACUCCGUCAGCAUUCAGAAGAGGGCCUGCUGUCGUUUCUCAAGAUGCACAACCCUCUGGAAAACAAUGGGCAAAGAAAUCCCUUUGGCCACACGUGCCUUCCCUUUGGAUGGCUGCAUAGGCCUGGUGCUGGAAUGGGGCUGGUGUUAGCUCAACUAUUCAGUCGACAAGGCUUAAGUGUUUCUUAUAAUUGUCUGAAUCGAGGAUGUGGUUACACCCCCAGCUUUCAGAAGGUUUUCUCCCAUCCAGAGCAGUCCAGGGUGAAAAAAAAUCUCUACAACCAAGCUGUUACAACACUCUGAUAUUCACCAUCAAAUCUUUGAUUCACAGCCUCAUCUGUAGAUAUGAAUUCAGAAGGGCAGAGAAGUAAAUAUAUUAAAGUUGUAGCCAGGCAGGGCAAUAUAUGAGAUAUCAAAAAAAUCUCUUUGAGUUGCAUUGAAAACCUUCCCCCUGAGCACCCUGCCACCACUGAGCACUGAUGUCCAAAAUCUCCCUCAGACCUAAAUGAUAACCUCAGAAAAUAAAGCUGUUAACAACAACAA